rnacentral:misc_RNA from 1 species
AAUGGGAGGUGGAUAUGGCACAUUUAAGAGACAUUUGGAGCAAAAGCAUCUGAUCAUCAAAAUUGAGUAUGACAAGUCUCAAACUCAAAUAUCUGGGUAUGCAAAUUCUAAAUCUCAAUCUUUAGUUCAAUAUUCUGAUCAGAAAAAUAUAGAGGAAUUAGUAAAAAUAAUUUGUAUUAAGCAUUUAUCAUUUAAUUUUGGUG